GUGCCAGCAGCCGCGGUAAUACGGAGGGUGCAAGCGUUGUUCGGAAUUACUGGGCGUAAAGCGCGUGUAGGCGGUCGGGCAAGUCAGAUGUGAAAGCCUUCCGCUUAACGGAAGAAGUGCAUUUGAAACUACCCGGCUGGAGUACGGGAGAGGAGAGUGGAAUUCCCGGUGUAGAGGUGAAAUUCGUAGAUAUCGGGAGGAACACCAGUGGCGAAGGCGGCUCUCUGGUCCGAUACUGACGCUGAGACGCGAAAGCGUGGGGAGCAAACAGGAUUAGAUACCCCCGUAGUCC
rnacentral:rRNA from 1 species